CUCUUGAAUUCGAUGAGCAAAUUUGACGGUCUAGUUUACAAUUGGCACCUGCUCGUGUAUUGCAGGAUGGCUCGUGAUGCACUAGUAUUGAAGGGAUGCUAUGUCAUAUAUAACAUGGGUCCUAAUGCAUCAUGUACUGGCAUCAUGUAUACAUAGAUGGCCAUGAUGGUGAAAUUGGAUCCAUUUUUAAGGUGUAAUCUUUAGUUGGAUUAGAUUUGCCAUUAAUUUUGGUGGACUAGUCUAAUCAUGAAGCAACACACAUAAAUGUAGUUCAUCUGUUAUUGUGUAAGACAGUUGGACUGUUUUACAAGCUCACUCACCGAUCUGAUCCAACCAAUAACCACUCAUUUUUGCGCGGCUGCUCCUUCAUGGCAUGCACUCUCUCUUUAUUACCAGUGCAAGUGCUAAGUUCCUGGGAGGAGAGAACCCUUUUAAUCAUAACAGGAGAUGAGAGCGAAGGGGCGAGACAGAGGAGGGAGAUGAGGCCUGAUCUUUCUAUAAAAGGAAUGAAGCCAGCCAAGUAUUGUCCAAAUCCCUGUUGGAAGAAGGUUUCUUAAAACCAUUAUAUCAGUACAUUUUUAACUGAUGCCUCAACAAAUUUUUUUUGAAUUUUUUUUAUUUUUUUAUUUAGCACAUCGGCUACUCGCAUGAGCACAGUCAGCUACAUUGGGAUAAUUUUUUAAUGAACCCAAGUUAUAUCAGUAAUAUGACAAGUAUGAAAGAUUUAUCGUAUUAGAAUACAAAAAUUAUAUUCCUUUCCUCUUGCUUAUAACUUCUAUGACCAUCACAGUGGAGGUUCUCAUUAAAGUUCCCUUCCAUCCCCCAAGGACUAUGCAGAGCCUUGUUAUGGGCCCUCACUCCUUACGGUUCUCCUCUCAUGUUUUCUUGAGGGGAGGUUCUCCUCUCAAAUUCCGCCACUUUUCCUCCAUUAUUCGCCAACUGGCUGCACCUGAGCACCACUCACGACCGAACUCCCCUCCUAUAAGAAGCACCCUCGGCAACUGCCUCCCCGCAUCAGCCCACACGAAGUCCAUAGGGUCUAGAACUUGGAAGGGUCCCUUUCCUUCACUUUCUCCUCUUCCCUAAGAGAUUAGAGCCUUAGAAACUCACCAAGCUCCCUCUUGUCCACUUCCCCACUCUGUUUCUAUCACCAUUUCCUCUUACACUCGCCAUUGACAACCGUCUCCACCACCUAGGAAUUAAAUCACCUCCCUCUCCAGCGAUCCUUUCAAUUCUUUAUUCUAACAGAUGGCGUCCAGUUCACUGAGCUCCUCCUGGACCCCAAAGCAGAACAAGUUGUUUGAGACGGCCCUGGCGAAGUACGACAAGGACACGCCUGACCGCUGGCACAACGUGGCCCGGGCCGUCGGCGGGAAGUCGGCCGAAGAGGUGAAACGGCACUAUGAAAGGCUAGUUGAGGACAUCAGGAAGAUCGAGUCAGGCCACGUGCCAUUCCCGAGUUACCGGUCGUCCGGCGGCAGGGGUACUCUGUUUCACUUCCUUCUUGUUACUGUCCCAUUCCUUCCUCGUUCUCCUCUUGCGCUUCCAUGGUACCCUCUGUUUCGCUUCCUUUCUAUUACUGUUCCAUUCCUUCCUCUUGCUCUUCUCUUGUGCUUCCAUAUUGUUUUCCUGAUGUGUGAGACUUGGAUGGAACACUUGUUUUCAGCUGGCUUAAGGCAAAACCCAAACAAUCAACUGUGCUUUUACUCUCCCCUCAACCCUGAUCCCUUUGCCAUCCCACUAUAAGGCGCAUGAAAUAUAGCCAUGCUUAAGUACUUAAAAGAUAGAUUACCAUCUCUUGGCUUCCUAUUGACUUUGCUAGCCUGAGCUAUGGCUGAUCCAGGCUUCAUAAUAUGCCUUUCUGGGUCACUUACGCUUGUGACACUCUAUUUUUCAUGCAGUGUUGCUUUCCUUCUCUAAAGGCUGAAGUUUCUAAAGCUCCAGCGAAGCGAAAAAUAGGAAGCAGCAUCUUUGUCGAUAUCAAGUAGCAUGGGGCAUAAUUCUUCUCUGGAGAUGCAGAUAGAACUCAAAGAAAUAAAAAGCCAGAUGCAUACAUGUGACUUUCAGAUGAAGAUCAGAUGUCCCUGACCUUAUUGAAGCCCUCUGUUUCUAUUCUUAUGUAUCUUCCCUUCACUUUCAUCCUAUCGUAAACUAUUGAAGACUGACAUAAAAUGCGUGGCUAGUCUUCUAAGUUGUGUGGUUAUUACUUAAUAAAGCUAAGUUUGAUAUAACUUCUAUA